rnacentral:rRNA from 1 species
UGCAGUCGAACGAUGAAACCGCUUCGGUGGUGGAUUAGUGGCGAACGGGUGAGUAACACGUGGGCAAUCUGCCCUUCACUCUGGGACAAGCCCUGGAAACGGGGUCUAAUACCGGAUAACACUCUGUCCCGCAUGGGACGGGGUUGAAAGCUCCGGCGGUGAAGGAUGAGCCCGCGGCCUAUCAGCUUGUUGGUGGGGUAAUGGCCUACCAAGGCGACGACGGGUAGCCGGCCUGAGAGGGCGACCGGCCACACUGGGACUGAGACACGGCCCAGACUCCUACGGGAGGCAGCAGUGGGGAAUAUUGCACAAUGGGCGAAAGCCUGAUGCAGCGACGCCGCGUGAGGGAUGACGGCCUUCGGGUUGUAAACCUCUUUCAGCAGGGAAGAAGCGAAAGUGACGGUACCUGCAGAAGAAGCGCCGGCUAACUACGUGCCAGCAGCCGCGGUAAUACGUAGGGCGCAAGCGUUGUCCGGAAUUAUUGGGCGUAAAGAGCUCGUAGGCGGCUUGUCACGUCGGAUGUGAAAGCCCGGGGCUUAACCCCGGGUCUGCAUUCGAUACGGGCUAGCUAGAGUGUGGUAGGGGAGAUCGGAAUUCCUGGUGUAGCGGUGAAAUGCGCAGAUAUCAGGAGGAACACCGGUGGCGAAGGCGGAUCUCUGGGCCAUUACUGACGCUGAGGAGC